GUACACGCUGUGACUAGCAUAUCAAUAAGCGGAGGAAAAGAAACUAACAAGGAUUCCCUCAGUAACGGCGAGUGAAGCGGGAAGAGCUCAAAUUUGAAAUCUUGAAAGGUCACCCUUCACGAAUUGUAGUUUAAAGAAGUGUUUUCUGUUACGAUCGUAAUAUAAGUUCUUUGGAAUAGGACAUCACAGAGGGUGAGAAUCCCGUCUAUGAUUGCGAUAUUGUAGCUUCGUGAUACACUUUCAAAGAGUCGGGUUGUUUGGGAAUGCAGCCCAAAACGGGAGGUAAGUUUCUUCUAAGGCUAAAUAUUGGCGAGAGACCGAUAGCGAACAAGUACCGUGAGGGAAAGAUGAAAAGAACUUUGAAAAGAGAGUUAAAUAGUACGUGAAAUUGUCAAAAGGGAAGCGUUUAACACCAGUGUUGUUUUCUGAAAAUCAACCUCUGUUAGCUUUAUGCAUGUUUGUUUAGACCUAAUCAGCUAUCUUGCAUGUUCUAUUGUUUGCAGUGGUGCACUUUUCAGUUUACAGGUCAACAUCAGUUUUUUUUACCGUAAAAAAGUUAAAGAAAGGUAGCUCAUGGCUCCGGUCGUGAGUGUUAUAGUCUUUUUCCUAUGCGGUAGGAGAGACUGAGGUCUGCAGUGUAGGCUAUUUGGCUAGAUACUCAGGUGCUAUGUGAUACCAUUUCAUAAACAACUUGUUGAUUAUGUUUUGUCUAUUGCAUACUCGCUUGUACUAUCAUACCUACGCUUAGGAUGUUGAGUAGCGACAUACGCAC
rnacentral:rRNA from 1 species